AUUGAACGCUGGCGGCAUGCUUUACACAUGCGAGUCGAACGGUAACAGGCCUUCGGGUUCUGCCGAGUGGCGCACGGGUGCGUACUGCAUCGGAACGUACCCAGAGGUGGGGGUUAACGCAGCGUAAGCUGUGCUAAUACCGCCUGUGAUCUGAGGCUGCCAGCGGGGGACCGAGCAGCAAUGUUUGGCCUCGCGCCUUUGAAGCAGCCGAUGUCGGAUUAGCUAGUUGGUGGGGUAAAGGCCUACCAAGGCGACGAUCCGUAGCUGGUCUGAGAGGAUGACCAGCCACACUGGAACUGAGACACGGCCCAGACUCCUACGGGAGGCAGCAGUGGGGAAUAUUGGACAAUGGGCGCAAGCCUGAUCCAGCAAUGCCGCGUGCGGGAAGAAGGCCUUCGGGUUGUAAAGCGCUUUUGUCAGGAAAGAAACGGAGUCGGCUAAUACCGGGCGGUAAUGACGGUACCUGCAGAAUAAGCACCGGCUAACUACGUG
rnacentral:rRNA from 1 species